rnacentral:snRNA from 1 species
GUGCAGCACAGAGACUAAAACUGGAACAAAACCGAGAAGAUUAGCAUAGCCCCUGCAAAAGGACGACACGAAAACUUGUGAAGCUCAAUGCAGCAUG